GAAUUUUCUUCCAAAAAUACCUUUAAAAAACUUUUAAAAAGUAAUAAUGCAAGUUAAUAAGAAGAAAACAAGUAUGUAUUGGGGCGAGGGAGGAGAUCCCGGAUAUAUCUCACUCCUGAUAAAGAGGGAGACCUAACAGUCUUCAAAGCCUGAGUUCUUUUAACUCUUUGGAUGGCUACUGUUGGGAAGUCCUUGGGCUUUUUGCUUGGCCUGGUGGUCUAAAUAUAAUAAAGAUUUGUGUCAUGAAUCUUGAUUGGAUUUGUGUGACUGACCCUGGUGGUUUCUGUGUGAGGCCGCCCUCUUCUGAGGCUGACCUCCACCCCUGGCUUCUAAGUGCCCUUCUUCUUGCUCCAAGAGUAGCCAUGUCCCUUCUCUCUGGGAGUUGGGUGGUUGGUUGAGAAGGUCCAGCGCUUUUGGGUCACCCCUGGUUUUGAUACCACUGGUGACCAGUGUCCUGCUCCCUCAUGGUUGAAGCAUAACAUUGGAGAAGCCCACCGAGGGCAAGCAUACGAAGCAGGGGUUAUUUAAAAGGGGGUAACAUAGACUUUUCCUGGGAGGGAGAAGGGGGCCGGAGCUGGUGGCCUGGUAUCCCAAGCAGCGAGGGUGUUCUGCCCUCUUAUGUGUCCUAGGCUUCCUUUGUUCUCCUUUCUCUCUGUCCUUCCUGCUAGCUCACACCUUGGUGGGGGGAUGGCCAAAAGGUGAGAAGCAGAUGGGCUAUAGGGGCCAAGUUGAAGUGCUCUGGGCAGGA
rnacentral:lncRNA from 1 species